rnacentral:rRNA from 1 species
AACAUUUGAGUGAGUGGCGGACGGGUGAGUAACACGUGGGUAACCUGCCCUAAAGUGGGGGAUAACAUUUGGAAACAGAUGCUAAUACCGCAUAAAACCUAACACCGCAUGGUGUAGGGUUGAAAGAUGGUUUCGGCUAUCACUUUAGGAUGGACCCGCGGUGCAUUAGUUAGUUGGUGAGGUAAAGGCUCACCAAGACCGUGAUGCAUAGCCGACCUGAGAGGGUAAUCGGCCACACUGGGACUGAGACACGGCCCAGACUCCUACGGGAGGCAGCAGUAGGGAAUCUUCCACAAUGGACGAAAGUCUGAUGGAGCAACGCCGCGUGAGUGAAGAAGGUUUUCGGAUCGUAAAACUCUGUUGUUGGAGAAGAAUGUAUCUGAUAGUAACUGAUCAGGUAGUGACGGUAUCCAACCAGAAAGCCACGGCUAACUACGUGCCAGCAGCCGCGGUAAUACGUAGGUGGCAAGCGUUGUCCGGAUUUAUUGGGCGUAAAGCGAGCGCAGGCGGUUUCUUAAGUCUGAUGUGAAAGCCUUCGGCUCAACCGAAGAAGUGCAUCGGAAACUGGGAAACUUGAGUGCAGAAGAGGACAGUGGAACUCCAUGUGUAGCGGUGAAAUGCGUAGAUAUAUGGAAGAACACCAGUGGCGAAGGCGGCUGUCUGGUCUGUAACUGACGCUGAGGCUCGAAAGCAUGGGUAGCAAACAGGAUUAGAUACCCUGGUAGUCCAUGCCGUAAACGAUGAGUGCUAGGUGUUGGAGGGUUUCCGCCCUUCAGUGCCGCAGCUAACGCAUUAAGCACUCCGCCUGGGGAGUACGACCGCAAGGUUGAAACUCAAAGGAAUUGACGGGGGCCCGCACAAGCGGUGGAGCAUGUGGUUUAAUUCGAAGCAACGCGAAGAACCUUACCAGGUCUUGACAUCCUUUGACCACUCUAGAGAUAGAGCUUUCCCUUCGGGGACAAAGUGACAGGUGGUGCAUGGUUGUCGUCAGCUCGUGUCGUGAGAUGUUGGGUUAAGUCCCGCAACGAGCGCAACCCUUAUUACUAGUUGCCAGCAUUUAGUUGGGCACUCUAGUGAGACUGCCGGUGACAAACCGGAGGAAGGUGGGGACGACGUCAAAUCAUCAUGCCCCUUAUGACCUGGGCUACACACGUGCUACAAUGGAUGGUACAACGAGUUGCGAGACCGCGAGGUUUAGCGAAGGUGGGGACGACGUCAAAUCAUCAUGCCCCUUAUGACCUGGGCUACACACGUGCUACAAUGGAUGGUACAACGAGUUGCGAGACCGCGAGGUUUAGCUAAUCUCUUAAAACCAUUCUCAGUUCGGAUUGUAGGCUGCAACUCGCCUACAUGAAGCCGGAAUCGCUAGUAAUCGCGGAUCAGCAUGCCGCGGUGAAUACCGUUCCCGGGCCUUGUACACACCGCCCGUCACACCAUGAGAGUUUGUAACACCCAAAGCCGGUUGAGGUAACCCUUCGGGGAGCCAGCC